UUCUGCCACCGAAUACAUUAGCAUGGGAUAAUGGAAUAGGACCCUGUCCUCCUAUUUUCAGUUGGUUUUGGCAGCGCGAGGACUAGGGUAAUGAUUAAUAGGGAUAGUUGGGGGCAUUAAUAUUUAAUUGUCAGAGGUGAAAUUCUUGGAUUUAUGAAAGAUUAACUUCUGCGAAAGCAUCUGCCAAGGAUGUUUUCAUUAAUCAAGAACGAAAGUUAGGGGAUCGAAGACGAUCAGAUACCGUCGUAGUCUUAACCAUAAACGAUGCCGACCAGCGAUUAGGAGACGUUGAAUACAAAACACCACCAUCGGUGCGGUCGUCCUUGGCGUCGGUCUUUCGGGGCCGGCGCGGGGACGGCUUAGCCCGGUGGCACCGGUGAAUGACUCCCUA
rnacentral:rRNA from 3 species